CCGGCGGAUCCAAGAUGGCGGCGUUUACCAGAAACUGCUCCCGGAGAAGAUUCGAAGUUGGAAACCAAUGCAAACAUCCAUUGAGGAUAAAUGCAAAAAUAUGGUGGAUUUGGAAAACUGAAAUAAAAAUGGAACAUCUGAAGAAACUGAGCAGGUCUGGUUGUAUCUGAAGAGAAAGCAAAACAGUGUUAAAAUUUCAAGUUCGUUAUGACUCUUCUUUAGAACAGGAUCUGAUGGAAUCUCCCAAUUUAUCACAACCUGAACAUCUUCAUUUUUAAUAUAGAAGGAAAAAGCACCGUUUGUAAUGGAGAGAAACUGUAUGUGUGUUGUGUGUGUGAGUAAGGGUCCAGACAGUCAUCAGGCCUAAUAAAACAAAAGUGCAAUCAUGCUGGAGAGAAACUGUGGAAAAAUGGGGACUGCGAGGGGCCAUUUAGUUACAUUUCUGAUCUGGAAAUUAACGAAAUUCACCAACAUGCUAACACUGAGAAAUGGUUAUUUAUCUGCUCCACAUGUGGGAAGGGAUUCACUCAAUCAUCCAUGUUGCUGAGGCACCAGCAAGUUCACACUGAUCCUUUCAAAUGCCAAGAUUGUGGGAAUGGCUACAAACUUUCCAGCAAACUGAUGCCCCAUCUACUUGUUCACACUGAUGAGAGACCCUUUAAAUGCUCAGUUUGUGGGAAGGGUUUUUAAAUUUCUGGGGAACUAUUACAUCACUGAAGUGUUCAUAAUGAAGAGAGACAGUUCAAGUGCUCUCGCUAUGGGACUGGGUUCAGCCAUCCAUAUGAUCUCCAUGCACAUCAGAGAAUUCACACUGGGGAGAGGCCAUUCACUUGCACCGAGUGUGGAAAAGGACUUACUCGGACAUCCAGCCUGCUGAAACACCAGUGGGCUCACACUGAGGAAAGGCCAUAUAAAGUUCACUGAGCUGAUGUCCUAUCAGCAUGCUUACUCUGAGGAGAGACUAUUCAGGUAUUUCACUGUGGGACUGGGUUCAGAUGGUCAUCUGACCUCCAAGGACACUAGUGAAUUCACGCUGGAGAGAGGCCAUUCACUUGUACUGAAUAUGGGAAGGAACUGUCUUGGUCAUUUUACCUCAUAACGUAUCAGCAAGCUCACACUGUGGAGAGGCUGUUCGCCUGCUCAAUGUGUGUGAAGGGAUGCACUCAGUCCUGCCAGCUCAUGGUACACCAGCAAGGACACAGUGAGGAGAGACAUUUCAAAUAGCAGCCUGUGAUCGGUGCUAUAAAAGUUCAGAGGGUCUAUUGUCCCAUCAACAUGUUCACACGAAUGAGAGACCAUUCAAAUGUUCGGUUUUUGGGGACUGCUUUAAGAGUUCUGGAGAUCUGAUGCAUCAUCAAUGUAUUCACACUGUCAAGAGACUGUUCAAGUGCUCUCAGUGUGGGACAGGGUUCAGACGAUCAUCUGACCUCACUGUACACCAGCGAGAUCACAAUGGGGAGAGACCAUUUACCUGCUCAGUGUAUGAGAAGAGAUUCACUCAGUCAGCUCACCUGCUUUGCCACCAAUUACCUCAACAGUGACUGCAACAGGGGCUUGAUUUUGCUGUUACCACAACUGGAAUGGAGGAAUCUUCAUGAGGGUCAAUUUAUGGUGAUGUUUAGCUCAGUCACAAACGCUAAUAUUUGGCAAUAUAGUCAAAUAAAUCAGUUUUGUGUUCAA